UCCAUUUCCCGGAGAGCGCGGCCGACAACCACUCUAGGGUGCGCCUCCCUCGGAUCCCCCUCUUCCUCUUCCCCCUCCCUCUCCUUCCCGGCGAGCGCGGGGCAGCGGCCGGCCUGGCCUCGGGUGGGCGAGCGUGGCCUCGUGCCGGCGGCGGCGAUGGGGUUGCGGCGAGCGUGGGCUGGGGCAGGCUGCGGCGAGCGUGGCCGAGAGCGGGCCGGUGGUCGGCCUGGCCUCGGGCAAGCAUCACGCCGCACCGGCAGCGAUGGGGCGCGGCCAGCCCAGCCUCGUGCCGGCGACGGCAAGCAAAGGCCUAGCGCGGAGCAGCAGUAGCAAUGGCCUCACCGCUGGCCGCCCGCCUCCCGUGCCAUGUCAUAGCUCGUCAAGACCAACGGCUGCCGCGCAUUCCUCGUCGACACCCUCGCCCUGGUAAAGCCUCUACGUCCUGGGUCCUACGAGUGCUCGGGAGGUGUUCGGCGAAAUGCUCCUCCUCCGACGGGGACGCUGGCGUGGGUGUGGGGGGCUGUGGUCGUCGCAGGUCAGGAAGCUCGAGUCGCAGGGAGUGCCCACCAAGCAGGCCGAGGCCAUCACCGAGGUGCUCAACGACAGCCUCGACAGCAUGUCCGAGUCGUUCAUCUCCAAGGCCGACAUUCAGAAGAGUGAGAUGCUGGAGGAGUCCAAUAUCGAUCUCCAAGUUCAAGUCGCAAGUGCAGAUCUCGCAUGUAUUCUUCAAAGCUAAGCUGUCUCGUCGUGACCAUUAGGCGUUGUUGGAUUUUUCGCUCUAACUUGAUCUUGGAGCUUGUACGAGUUUGUUUUAGAAUGUUUAGUUUCUUUAGAAUGUUCAGUUUCAACGUUACUGUGACGAAGGUUUAUACAACCACCUUUAGAACUGCUGCUCAUUAUGUGAUGACCCUAUUAGUUUGAGGGAUUGAUGUAUGGGAAAUGGCGAUUGUCGGUUGAGAUCA